ACCUGGCUGGCUCAAUUGGUAGAGCAUGUGACUCUUGAUGACAGAGUUUUGAGGUCAAGUCCCACGUUGGGUG
rnacentral:tRNA from 1 species